UACGUAGGGUGCAAGCGUUAAUCGGAAUUAUUGGGCGUAAAGCGCACGUAGGCGGUUCGUUAAGUCGGAUGUGAAAGCCCUCGGCUCAACUGAGGAAGUGCACCCGAAACUGGCGAGCUUGAGUACGAAAGAGGAUCGCGGAAUUCCCGGUGUAGAAGGUGAAAUUCGUAGAUAUCGGGAAGGAACACCGGUGGCGAAGCGGCGAUCUGGUCGAGUACUGACGCGUGAGGUGCGGAAACGAUGGGAGCAACAGGGAUUAAGAA
rnacentral:rRNA from 1 species